rnacentral:piRNA from 1 species
UCUGGAUUCUAAGUGUACUAACAUCAGCUC